CCGGCCCCGCCCCGCCGCUCGCACCUUCCGGUCCCUUCCCCGCCCUUGAGCCUCCGCGUUUUCCUAGCAGGCCAGGCUGCCCUUAGCCUGAAUUACGCCCUCCCGGCCUAGGGUGUCGCUCUACCGGCUUCCGAGCUCCACACAGACAAGUGCCUCGCUCAUGCAGGGGUAGGAGGCGGAGCGAGGCGGCGGGGGGCAGUGUCGCCGCGGACUAGGGACGGCGGUGUCGGCGGUGGUCCCUGCGCUAUGGCCGCCUCGGUGUUUUGCUGCCUGCCGUGCUGCAGAGACGGCGGGACCGGCCACAUCCCUCUGAAGGAGAUGCCGGCUGUGCAGCUAGACACGCAGCACAGGGAUCUCUCCAGACGCCGGCGGACUCCCACCUGGGCCUGGUUCUGUGUUCAAGGCUGCGCAGCCCUCUCUGUCAUCGCGAGUGGGCGUGUGGACCUCCCAUUUUCACGGGAAUCUCCGAGGGCUUCCUCUAGAGAUGUCUCACGUCCCCAGGCGAGGGGACGGAGAGUGCCCUCCUGGCGCGCGCCAAUCAAAACCUACACAUUUUCAGUAUGCUUCGGUCUGCUCCUCCUUCUGCCCUGUCGGUCUUGUUUCUUGAGCCCUGUCAUUUAUAGAUAGAAGCUUAUAUUAUUGAAAGUAAUUUUUCUCUCCUCCUAAAGUCAAAACAAGGCAGAUUGCAGAAGUCUGAAGUCGCACCUCAGGUCAGAACUUGUCAUUUCAACUAAAAUCUCCCAUUGCCCGACUACUUAGUCGUUGUUAGAGGUGUCAUUUCAUCUGGCCUCUUUCCAACAGCCAUCACCAGUUCAGACCACCACCAUUUCUCACUGCCACGGCCUUCUCUUAGAUAUCCCUACUUCUGCAACUGAAAGGAAUGGCAAAAACAGCAACUACUUUUGCACCAACCUAAUAAGACAUCCAGCAGUGUUCAUCUCAGCUCCUUGUUUAUUUCCUACUUAGUCCCUACUAAAACUUGACAUUUUUGUCUGUUUGUUUCAAUAGGUCCGUUUCAUGUCUCUCUCCCGCAGGAGUAUGAGGGCAGGGACCUGUUUACCAUAGUGUUUCCAGUGCCCAGCACAGAGCCUGACGCAAAUCAGCUGUUCGCUAUAUGCUGAAUGAAUGCUCUGCAUAUUGAAUUGUUUCCAUAUUCAUACAUAGAAAUGAAGGAAAUUUGAUUUAAUUUCAAUAAAUUCUGUAUUGUUAGAUGUUUCAA